rnacentral:rRNA from 1 species
UGGGGAAUCUUAGACAAUGGGGGAAACCCUGAUCUAGCCAUGCCGCGUGAGUGAUGAAGGCCUUAGGGUCGUAAAGCUCUUUCGCCAGGGAUGAUAAUGACAGUACCUGGUAAAGAAACCCCGGCUAACUCCGUGCCAGCAGCCGCGGUAAUACGGAGGGGGUUAGCGUUGUUCGGAAUUACUGGGCGUAAAGCGCGCGUAGGCGGACCGUUAAGUCGGGGGUGAAAGCCCAGAGCUCAACUCUGGAACUGCCUUCGAUACUGGCGGUCUCCAGUCCGGGAGAGGUGAGCGGAAUACCGAGUGUAGAGGUGAAAUUCGUAGAUAUUCGGUGGAACACUAGUGGCGAAGGCGGCUCACUGGCCCGGUACUGACGCUGAGGUGCGAAAGCGUGGGGAGCAAACAGGAUUAGAUACCCGCGUAGUCC